UUAAGAUUCAAAUAUAAAGUAUUUUUAAACUUUUAUUAAAAUUAAUAAAUUAAUAUAAAAUA
rnacentral:tRNA from 1 species